rnacentral:lncRNA from 10 species
CACCUUUUCUUUAGACCCGCGUCUCACCCCGGGCCGGAAGGGCUCCUGCGCAGGCGUUUGUAGCCACUUUUAAGUUUUAUCAGCUAGUUCAUGCUUGCGUUGAAAGAGUGGUCGUUUGCGCUGGGUCAUCACUGUGUAGUAUUGGGGAUACUUAGGUGAGAAAAAAACUUAACGCUAGAGACGUUCACGCACUAGUGGAGAAGCCAGGAUUGUUGCCCUAGAGUUACAGUAGAUAAAAGUACCUCAGAGAACUGCGGGGGCUCCCAACCUGGACGCUUGCACCGGAGUAUUAAAUCCAGCUAGAGAAUGGCAUGUGCAAAGAUACAGAGCUUUUAGAAGUUGCCUGCAUUCCUUGGCCCCUUCCUCACAUCAUUCCAACCAACUUCCAUCCUUACAAUCGAUUACUUUCCUGUAAUAGCUACAGUCAAAUGGGCAGCUGAAGAUGAUGAUGAUGAUGAUCUUGACACCGAGAAGCAGAAGACCAAUGAAGAUGACCAGACAGCAAAAAAGGAUAAGUUAAAAGAAGGGUCUCGCUCUGUAUCCCAGGCUGGAGUUCAGUGGCACGAUCUCCGCUCGCUGCAACCUCCGCCUCCUGGGUUCAAGUGAUUCUCCUGCCUCAGCCUCCCAAGUAGCUGGAUUACAG